UACGGAGGGGGCAAGCGUUACUCGGAAUUAUUGGGCGUAAAGGGCGCGUAGGCGGUCGUGCGCGUCGGAGGUGAAAUCCCCGGGCUUAACCCGGGAGCUGCCUCCGAUACGGCAUGGCUUGAGUCCGGGAGAGGGGAGCAGAAUUCCCAGUGUAGCGGUGAAAUGCGUAGAUAUUGGGAGGAAUACCAGUGGCGAAGGCGGCUCCCUGGACCGGUACUGACGCUGAGGCGCGAAAGCGUGGGGAGCAAACAGG
rnacentral:rRNA from 1 species